AUUGAACGCUGGCGGCAUGCCUUACACACGCAAGUCGAGCGGUAACAGGUCUUCGGAUGCUGACGAGUGGCGAACGGGUGAGUAAUACAUCGGAACGUGCCUAGUAGUGGGGGAUAACUACUCGAAAGAGUGGCUAAUACCGCAUGAGAUCUACGGAUGAAAGCAGGGGAUCGCAAGACCUUGUGCUACUAGAGCGGCCGAUGGCAGAUUAGGUAGUUGGUGGGAUAAAAGCUUACCAAGCCGACGAUCUGUAGCUGGUCUGAGAGGACGAUCAGCCACACUGGGAAUGAGACACGGCCCAGACGCCUACGGGAGGCAGCAGUGGGGAAUUUUGGACAAUGGGCGAAAGCCUGAUCCAGCAAUGCCGCGUGCAGGAUGAAGGCCUUCGGGUUGUAAACUGCUUUUGUACGGAACGAAAAGCCCCGGGUUAAUACCCUGGGGUCAUGACGGUACCGUAAGAAUAAGCACCGGCUAACUACGUGCCAGCAGCCGCGGUAA
rnacentral:rRNA from 1 species